UGUAACUAGGCCCCCUUGAAAGGUUAUUUUGGGGCACCCAGGAACAGCUUAAAUUUGCUCCUCCUGGUCUAUGGCAGCUUCCCCUGGCUGCCACUGAGGCUUGUCAGCUGCUGCCAUUGGAAAUGCAGUUUGCAUCUCACCACAUCAAUAAAGGGUUCGCCUGCAUCAUUUGCUGUGACAGCCAAGCAGCCCUCUUCAAGACCGGGAAGGAGGAAACCGUCCAUUGUGGCUUCCAGAUUGGCGAUCUCUGAAGCACAUAUGCAUAAGCAAGCAUGCCCAGAAUGCCAGAAAAAUAGUAACUAAGACUAGCACUGGCUGCCCCAGCAAGUCUGUAUGAUAUAGAGCAGUAUGUAUGAGGUUCAAUGGCUAGAACCAGACCCACCUGUAACAGCAUUUUAAACAGCUGGCUGUUCUCCUUACUAUUUCAAAUUUCUACAAUUUCCUUUCAUGUGCUCUAUCACAUUUCUCUCUCAGGCCUGCACAAGUCCUUUCUGUCCUUCCCAGAAGGUGAUGCACUUGCUUCUCCAGGGUUUCUCUUGCUGGCUGGGCCUCCCCACAUGUGCUCUGAAUCAAGAGCCACAGAGCUGAAGAGGCUGAAAUUCAGCAAGCCUGUGGUAAAUUGGGAAAACGGAAGGGGAGAUGUUCUUCGACAACAUGUACACAAAAAAAGGAAAGCUGAGAUUGUUUAAAGGUUUCAAGGAGGGAAUUUGUGAUCAAUUUUGACACAUUAAUGGGAAGCAAAUAUUGGCCAUUUAGGGUACAUGUGGGAUAGGUGCAAUAAAUAAAGGAAAAUGAAUGCUUGUGAUCAGAAUAUGCAAAAUCAUCUGAUGUGCAACUAGAAGGACAAGCAAAUGCCUAGGCAUCUUUUUUUUCAUUACCAUGUUUUUCCCAUCCUGCAGGUGAACUUGUUGCAACUGGCUCUCCUAAAUGUUUCAUAAAUUAGCAAAGCCUGAAGGCAACCAGACCCAAACAUUAAAAAUAUAUAAUUAUAACAAUAAUAAUAAUAACUCAUGCAAUUAUUUUGCAAAACAGACAUGCUCAAUAAAAAAAAGAAAAAAAAAAAAGAAAGGAAGGAAGAAAAAAGCUGGCUUGGGUGCUUGACUGAAUUUGGCUGACUUGGGUACACACUGACUUGGGUACUCCAUUUUGAAAGAAGGCCAUUGUGCACUUUUGACACCAUGAUGGGUAGGACAAAAGCCUUUUCUUUAGAACACUGGUUUGUAGAGAUAAAUCUGAACU